rnacentral:rRNA from 1 species
AGUGAACGCUGGCGGUAGGCCUAACACAUGCAAGUCGAACGGCAGCACGGAGGAGCUUGCUCCUUGGGUGGCGAGUGGCGGACGGGUGAGGAAUACAUCGGAAUCUACUCUGUCGUGGGGGAUAACGUAGGGAAACUUACGCUAAUACCGCAUACGACCUACGGGUGAAAGCAGGGGAUCUUCGGACCUUGCGCGAUUGAAUGAGCCGAUGGCGGAUUAGCUAGUUGGCGGGGUAAAGGCCCACCAAGGCGACGAUCCGUAGCUGGGCUGAGAGGAUGAUCAGCCACACUGGAACUGAGACACGGUCCAGACUCCUACGGGAGGCAGCAGUGGGGAAUAGUGGACAAUGGGCGCAAGCCUGAUCCAGCCAUACCGCGUGGGUGAAGAAGGCCUUCGGGUUGUAAAGCCCUUUUGUUGGGAAAGAAAUCCAUCUGGUUAAUACCCGGGUGGGAUGACGGUACCCAAAGAAUAAGCACCGGCUAACUUCGUGCCAGCCGCCGCCGUAA